CUGUUCUCAAAACUGCAGGCUAACCUAGCACGACAUAAUGAUUACACCUCCUUGGUUGUCUAAAUACAUCCAUCGCUUAUUUAGAUAAUGGUAAUGGUAAGACCUCUUAAGUACAGACUACAUUAUUUACACAAUUCAAAUAUUCUUUUUGCAAUCAGUACAAAUUGUAUGGUCUUUUAUUUCACAUGAAUCCGUUCCACAAGCAAGAAAGCAUUCCAGGACGGAGCGUGUGUCUGGAAGCCCUGUCCGUCAGCAGGUGUCACUGCUUCCACCACCUGCAUAUGAGUCAACACCACACAGGAAACCAGCCA